rnacentral:rRNA from 1 species
UACGAAGGGGGCUAGCGUUGCUCGGAAUGACUGGGCGUAAAGGGCGUGUAGGCGGUUUGUACAGUCAGAUGUGAAAUCCCCGGGCUUAACCUGGGAGCUGCAUUUGAUACGUGCAGACUAGAGUGUGAGAGAGGGUUGUGGAAUUCCCAGUGUAGAGGUGAAAUUCGUAGAUAUUGGGAAGAACACCGGUGGCGAAGGCGGCAACCUGGCUCAUUACUGACGCUGAGGCGCGAAAGCGUGGGGAGCAAAC